UAUAGUUUUAAACAAAACGUUAGAUUGUGAUUCUAAAAAUAAGAGUUAAAAUCUCUUUAUUUACC
rnacentral:tRNA from 1 species